rnacentral:rRNA from 1 species
AUGAACGCUGGCGGCGUGCCUAAUCCAUGCAAGUCGAGCGAACAGACGAGGAGCUUGCUCCUCUGACGUUAGCGGCGGACGGGUGAGUAACACGUGGAUAACCUACCUAUAAGACUGGGAUAACUUCGGGAAACCGGAGCUAAUACCGGAUAAUAUAUUUAACCGCAUGGUUCAAUAGUGAAAGACGGUUUUGCUGUCACUUAUAGAUUGAUCCUCGCCUCAUUAGCUAGUUGGUAAGGUAACGGCUUACCAAGGCAACGAUGCGUAGCCGACCUGAGAGGGGGAUCGGCCACACUGGAACUGAGACACGGACCAGACGACUACGGGAGGCAGCAGAAGGGAAUAUUACGCAAUGGGCGAAAGCAUGACGGAGCAAAGCCGCGUGAGUGAUGAAGGUCUUCGGAUCGUAAAACUCUGUUAUUAGGGAAGAACAAAUGUGUAAGUAACUAUGCACGUCUUGACGGUACCUAAUCAGAAAGCCACGGCUAACUACGUG